UUAUCUGCUUAGAAUGGGAAGAGUACAUUUGUAAGACCAUCAGAGAGAAAAAUCAAAGAUGCCUACUAGUAAGGUAUCUUUUGCUGAGAGAUUUUUUUGGUACGAAAAAUGGAAGGUCGCCCUGGAGCUGCUUUUCUGAAAUUUUUAUAUUAGUAAGAAAAGCCGGUUACAUAACCGUUACAUAAAUGAAGUGUGCUAUUUUAAUUCAUUUUUAUUAGAAUUAUAGCAAACAAAGGUGGUACCGCGAAUCAACUCUCUUCGUCCUUUGA
rnacentral:ncRNA from 1 species